AUUGAACGCUGGCGGCAUGCCUAACACAUGCAAGUCGAGCGGACGAACGGAACUUUCUCCUGGCUUCUGUUGCCGACGGGUGAGUAAUUCCUAGGUAUAUGACUGGCCUUGGGGGAUAACGUCAGGUCACGGGCCCUAAUACAACAUACGUCAUUAUGUUGAACGUGGUGGAUCAUAGGACAUCACGGUACUUGCUGUCCCUAGUACGUAUUUGCUCGCUGCAUUAGCUAGUUGGUACGGUAACGGCUUACCAAGGCGACGAUGCAUAGCUGAUCUGAGAGGAUGAUCAGCCACACUGGAACUGAGACACGGUCCAGACUCCUACGGGAGGCAGCAGUGGGGAAUAUUGGACAAUGGGCGAAAGCCUGAUCCAGCCAUGCCGCGUGUGUGAAGAAGGUCUUCGGAUUGUAAAGCACUGUAAGUUGGGAGGAAGAGCAGUAAGUUAAUACCUUGAUAUUUUGACGUUACCAACAGAAUAAGCACCGGCUAACUACGUG
rnacentral:rRNA from 1 species